rnacentral:lncRNA from 1 species
UAAAAAGAAAAUGAAACGAAGAGACAACAAUCACCACCUACUACUUUUAACAUUAUUAUGUACAUAACAUGCAAUAUCAGGUAAAGAUGCCAUAACAACUAAACAGUUCCUGCCACUGGCCUAAUAUCAACAAAACUUUGGGUAAUGUCUUCUGAUUAAACUUCUAAAUAAAAAUAAGAAGAAAAAAAAUAUUCUGAAGAAAAGGACGGUUCCCAAUGCAAGGA